rnacentral:rRNA from 1 species
UGCAGUCGCACGAAGGUUUCGGCCUUAGUGGCGGACGGGUGAGUAACGCGUAGGAAUCUAUCCAUGGGUGGGGGAUAACACUGGGAAACUGGUGCUAAUACCGCAUGAUACCUGAGGGUCAAAGGCGCAAGUCGCCUGUGGAGGAGCCUGCGUUCGAUUAGCUAGUUGGUGGGGUAAAGGCCUACCAAGGCGAUGAUCGAUAGCUGGUUUGAGAGGAUGAUCAGCCACACUGGGACUGAGACACGGCCCAGACUCCUACGGGAGGCAGCAGUGGGGAAUAUUGGACAAUGGGGGCAACCCUGAUCCAGCAAUGCCGCGUGUGUGAAGAAGGUCUUCGGAUUGUAAAGCACUUUCGACGGGGACGAUGAUGACGGUACCCGUAGAAGAAGCCCCGGCUAACUUCGUGCCAGCAGCCGCGGUAAUACGAAGGGGGCUAGCGUUGCUCGGAAUGACUGGGCGUAAAGGGCGUGUAGGCGGUUUUGACAGUCAGAUGUGAAAUCCCCGGGCUUAACCUGGGAGCUGCAUUUGAGACGUUAAGACUAGAGUGUGAGAGAGGGUUGUGGAAUUCCCAGUGUAGAGGUGAAAUUCGUAGAUAUUGGGAAGAACACCGGUGGCGAAGGCGGCAACCUGGCUCAUUACUGACGCUGAGG